rnacentral:tRNA from 2 species
GCCGAGAUGGCGAAAUUGGUAUACGCGAAGGACUUAAAAUCCUUUGAGGUUUGUCCCUCGUGUGGGUUCGAGUCCCACUCUCGGCACCA